rnacentral:rRNA from 1 species
UACGAAGGGUGCUAGCGUUGUUCGGAAUUACUGGGCGUAAAGCGCGCGUAGGCGGCUAUUCAAGUCAGGGGUGAAAUCCCGGAGCUUAACUCCGGAACUGCCUUUGAAACUGUAUAGCUGGAGUGUGUGAGGGGAUGGCGGAAUUCCUAAUGUAGAGGUGAAAUUCGUAGAUAUUAGGAGGAACACCGGUGGCGAAGGCGGCCAUCUGGCACACAACUGACGCUGAGGCGCGAAAGCGUGGGGAUCAAACAGGAUUAGAUACCCGAGUAGU